rnacentral:rRNA from 1 species
GAUGAACGCUAGCUACAGGCUUAACACAUGCAAGUCGAGGGGAAACGGCAUUGAGUGCUUGCACUCUUUGGACGUCGACCGGCGCACGGGUGAGUAACGCGUAUCCAACCUUCCCAUUACUGUGGGAUAACCUGCCGAAAGGCAGACUAAUACCGCAUAGUCUUCGAUGACGGCAUCAGAUUUGAAGUAAAGAUUUAUCGGUAAUGGAUGGGGAUGCGUCUGAUUAGCUUGUUGGCGGGGUAACGGCCCACCAAGGCUACGAUCAGUAGGGGCUCUGAGAGGAAGGUCCCCCACAUUGGAACUGAGACACGGUCCAGACUCCUACGGGAGGCAGCAGUGAGGAAUAGUGGGCAAUGGACGGAAGUCUGAACCAGCCAAGUAGCGUGCAGGAGGACGGCCCUAUGGGUUGUAAACUGCUUUUGUAUGGGGAUAAAGUUAGGGACGUGUCCCUAUUUGCAGGUACCAGACGAAUAAGGACCGGCUAAUUCCGUG